CAGCAGCCGCGGUAAUACGAAGGGGGCUAGCGUUGAUCGGAUUUACUGGGCGUAAAGCGCACGUAGGCGGAUCGAUCAGUCAGGGGUGAAAUCCCAGAGCUCAACUCUGGAACUGCCUUUGAUACUGUCGAUCUGGAGUAUGGAAGAGGUGAGUGGAAUUCCGAGUGUAGAGGUGAAAUUCGUAGAUAUUCGGAGGAACACCAGUGGCGAAGGCGGCUCACUGGUCCAUUACUGACGCUGAGGUGCGAAAGCGUGGGGAGCAAACAGGAUUAGAUACCCCAGUAGUCCCUGUCUCUUAUAC
rnacentral:rRNA from 1 species